UUGACAAAGGACGAAUUUCUAAUACUUGGAGCAUUUCGAGAAACUUAUACACUGGAUAAAUAUGUUUCUCAAGCUUGAAAUGAAGCUUGUUUUAUAAUUUGUCUCACGUCGGACCACGUCGGACAUAUUGUUGCACACACCAAUCAUACUUGGGCUCGAGCGCAGAGUGCACUAUAUACAUAGAUUUAAAAUCUUCGAAGAACGAUGUGGCAUGGACUCUAUACCGUAGACGAAGAAAAAGAAACAAAUCCUUUGAAAUCGACCCUGUAUGGUUGGGUAAAGAAUAUUCCAGAGCAAGCGACUGGCCAAUAAGAGUAGUAUACUGCAGCGCCAUGAUUGGUGAGUUUUCAGAGUGGAAGUUAGCAGAAAGAAGUAAUCGCAGUUAUCGUGCGAAGGGCAUUUUGUUCAGACUAUCGCGUGAUAGUGAGGCGAGUAGGUAAUUCAUCGAAUUUGUGAAUACGAUAAUUACAAACGUGUAUUCGAGACGAUUUGUAUUCGAUUGUACAUUAUUCCGAAGAGUCGGUAUUUAAUCACGUGUUUGCGAGCAACGAUUUGUUUAGUGUCGUAAAGAGAACGUCGUGCAACCAGCCUAUCAGCCAUGGCUGCUAUGUCGGUGAUCGGAAUUGACUUUGGUAACGAAAGCUGUUAUGUGGCUGUGGCACGAGCAGGAGGCAUUGAAACCAUAGCCAACGAUUACAGUCUUCGAAAUACACCGUAAGUCUCCUUUGGUAAAUUAAAUGUCCUGGUUUUUCCUGGUUCUGAAGAAGAUGACCGGUGUAGUAGGUGCUCGCCGGUCACUUUGUGCAUCUGUCUAGAACCUACGAUCCUUUUCAUAAUUACAUAAAAAUUUAACAAUUAAAAAUAAUGUACAAAUCAUGGUUGUACGAGUAGCAUGUAAAAUUAAAAAAAAAAGUAUCAAUUCGAUCAGUAACAUUUUCGAUACGUGUACGUUCACGUUUCUGUCUCUGUAUUUGUAUAUUUUGCUCUUAAUAGUUUCACAUGACUAAGAAGCACAAAAAAGUCCAUAGCAGCUACUUAUGAUAUACUACGGAUCGUCUUUUCUGUAUUUGAAAUUGACGCUCGCAUAUGAGUCAGAAUCCACAAUUGAUUUACGUAAGAAUUAAUGUAAUGAAUAAAGCCGCGAUCCGCUGUCGUCGAUUCCUCGUCUAUCUGUACAAAAACUAGAGGAAGUUACGUGAUCUAAAUUAAAUCUGUUCAAAGUUAUUUAAGCAUCAUACUAAUUUCCAUUCAGUAUUUGUUGAUAAAAUGUUACGAUAAAUUGAUGUAGGUAAAUUACUUACUUUAAAUGUUUUACAUUCUCUUUACCCAAAAUUAAAAUAA